CCUGGUAGUGGGGGACAACGUUUCGAAAGGAACGCUAAUACCGCAUACGCCUACGGGAGAAAGCAAGGGGACCUUCGGGCCUUGCGCUAUCAGAUGAGCCUAGGUCGGAUUAGCUAGUUGGUGAGGUAAUGGCUCACCAAGGCGACGAUCCGUAACUGGUCUGAGAGGAUGAUCAGUCACACUGGAACUGAGACACGGUCCAGACUCCUACGGGAGGCAGCAGGC
rnacentral:rRNA from 1 species